rnacentral:rRNA from 1 species
UACGGGGGGUGCGAGCGUUGUCCGGAAUCACUGGGCGUAAAGGGCGCGUAGGUGGUUUGAUAAGGGUGUGGUGAAAGUCCGGAGCUCAACUCCGGAUCUGCCGUGCCGACUGUCAAACUCGAGGGCUGUAGAGGCAGACGGAAUUCCGGGUGUAGCGGUGGAAUGCGUAGAGAUCCGGAAGAACACCGGUGGCGAAGGCGGUCUGCUGGGCAGUUGCUGACGCUGAUGCGCGACAGCGUGGGGAGCAAACGGG